CUGACUUCCCAGUCCCCUCAAAGAGUGUCAGUCCUGAGGGUCUGUAAUCCUCUCACUCCCAAAGUAAGAGGCUGGACUCCCCCAGAGGCUGACACUGAGACGAGGAUAUGAGUGGAAGUCGUUCCUUUGAGAGGAAGAAACGAUGACAUAUUCUAUCAGAUACUAAACAGGAAGAUAGAGGUCAUUUCAAUAAUUUACACGGAGAGAAUGUAUCGAAGGGAGUUGGUUACAUAGCGGAAAAACCAAUCGGGACGGUGAAGCGGCCCAGAUUUUAGCAACAGCAGGAAGCCGCUAACACCCUUGGAAGGAGUGCUGCUGCAGCCCCUGUGCCGGGGUCCCCCAGAAUAAGCUGGUGCGGUGGUGGCUCCCACAGGACAGCAGCCGUAGCUAUGGAACGGAUGCCAGGACAGAAUGCAGCCAGUUCCCCGGGACUCCGCUGGGGAUGGAGCCAGCAGAUGGAGAGACUCAGCCUGGCUUUUCCUUUCCUUCCCCUCCAGCCUCCCUCCCACUUGGCCACGCCCAGCCAGAGGCCUGAGGACUGCAGCGUGUAGGAGCCAGAACCGCGGAGGAAAAAGGCCAGGGGUGAAGCUGAGGCUCACGCACA